CGGAGGAAAAGAAACUAACAAGGAUUCCCUUAGUAGCGGCGAGCGAAGCGGGAAAAGCCCAAUAUGAAAAGCCUUUUUGGCAUUGUAAUAGAGCGUUCUGGAGGCGUCAGUUCAGGAAAGUGUGCAUGAAAAUGCUCGCCGUGGAGGGUUAGAGCCCCGUCCAUCCUGGACAGGAUGUUUCGUUCAAGAACGUUUCAGUUGAGUCGGGUAGCUUGAGAAUGCUGCUCUAAUCGGUGGUAAAUCUCAUCGAAGGCUAAAUACUUGUUGGAGACCGAUAGCAAACAAGUACCGUGAGGGAAAGUUGACAAGCACUCUGAAAAGAGGGUGAAAAGAACCUGAAACCGUUACGGAGGAAGCGGAUUGCGUUGGAGUGAAGGAUAUUGCUGUUCAGCCGAUUUCGGUGCAUUCAGUAGUAUUCGCCUGGCGUGGGCUCUUUUUCGCUGAANUUGAGCGGAAAGGGGCUGAGGGCUCCCUUUUGGUGAGGAUCGUCCAGGAUAACGACGCGAUACGACCCGUCUUGAAACACGGACCAAGAAGUCUAGCAUUGCUGCGAGUCAAAGGGUUUAAAACCUGAGGGCGCAGUGAAAGCAAUCUAAAUUACGCAAAUUGAGGCGGCAUACGAUCGUUGAUUGUAGGUCCGACCUAGAGCAGUAAUGCUGGGACCCGAAAGAUGGUGAACUAUGCCGGGGUAGGGCGAAGCCAGAGGAAACUCUGGUGGAGGCUCGUAGCGAUGCUGACGUGCAAAUCGCUCGUCAAACCCGGGUAUAGGGGCGAAAGACUAAUCGAACCAUCUAGUAGCUGGUUCCCUCCGAAGUUUCUCUCAGGAUAGCGGGCUGACAUGUUGUUGUGUGCGGUAAAGCGAAUGAUUAGCGUAAUUGGGGGCAUUUAGCCUUCGGACGAUUCUCAAACUUUAAAUGCGCACGGGUAUUGUUGUUUAACUAAACGAUGCCGGUAAAAACGUCAGCCCUGUGGGCCACUUUUGGUAAGCAGAACUGGCGAUACGGGAUGAACCGUAAGCGUGGUUAAGGCGCCAAAUUGUCCGCUUAUAGAACCCAAAAAAGGUGUUGAUUCAUCGAGACAGCAGGACGGUGGCCAUGGAAGUCGGAAUCCGCUAAGGAGUGUGUAACAACUCACCUGCCGAAUGAAUUAGCCCUGAAAAUGGAUGGCGCUGAAGCGGGCAGCCGACACCACGCCGUUUGGACAAUAGUGGCUCCAAAUGAGUAGGAGGGCGUGUGGGUCGUAUCGAAGCGUUCGUGCGAACGAGCGUGGAACGGCCUGCAGUGCAGAUCUUGGUAUUAGUAGCACAUAUUCAAAUGAGAACCUUGAAGGGCGACGCGGGGAAGGGUUCCACGCUAACAUUGAUUGGGCGUGGGUGAGUCGUUCCUAAACCGAGUGGCAAUCGCUAAGUAACGGUGAAAGGGAAGUGGGUUGACAUUCCCACACACGGAUGUGAAGACGGUGACGUACCUCAGGAGUCAUGACGUUGACGGUGGCGCUGGGCAGAGUUGUCUUUUCUGUUUAACCAAUCCUACUCGCUCUGUGGAAUCCGAUUGUCGGGAGAAACAGGCUGGUAUGGGCAUAGUGCCGGGGCUUUUCCGGCAUCCAGCUCGCCAACGGCAGCCCUUGAAAAAUGACUUGCUGGCAGCGCUUGCGCUGUGGGAAAAUUUCACGCCGUGACGUACCAACAACCGCAUCAGGUCCCCAAGGUGAACAGCCUCUGCUCAAUAUGACAAAUGUAGGUAAGGGAAGUCGGCAAAUUAGACCCGUAACUUUGGGAAAAGGGUUGGCUCUAGUGCUGUGUGAGAUUUAGCUGAUGUUUUGCUAGUUGUAUGCCUUGCUUGACUGAAUGUGCGGGCAACUGCAACUGUUCGGACUCGCUCGGCGUGCGGCGAAGCGGGGUGUUAGCGCCUCACGGCAUACAGCAAACUAGAACUGCAACGGGCAAAGGGAAUCCGACUGUUUAAUUAAAACAAAGCAUUGCGAAGGCCGAGGCCGGUGUUGACGCAAU
rnacentral:rRNA from 1 species